ACUUGGAUCAGCCCAGUGGAGGUGUGCCCAUGCGCUCUCGUACACUCGAACCAGCGGGCGCCGGAGCAGCGGCGGCGACGGAUUUUGGGUGGGGGGUGCACACGCUGCUGCCCUUGGCACGCGGCGCCGUUCCGGUGCCCGGGUUGCCGGAGGCGGAGGAGUUCCAACGCCGCGGAGCUGCCCGGAUCACACCCUACGCGCCGGUAGCUGGUAAGAGGGGAUUAAUAAGCACCCGUGCUGGAGGACGGCGAGGAGUCCGAGACUGAUUUGGGAGUUUUAUGCAUCAGAUGACGACGGAGGGGGAAGGAUUCGAGAUUGAUGGGCGGGCAUUGGUGUCGCCGAGCGCGUCGGAUCGGAGCACUGCAACGAUGAGGUAGAAAUCUGCUAGUGGUUGAGUUCCUUAACUAUCCUGUCAAUUUUUUUGUAUACCUCUUUUGGAUCAUACGGCUUGAAUCAAUGGUACUGAAUGUUUGGGGUACAAUUAUUUGUUUAGUUUGUUCCUGAUCCUUAAAUCAAUUAGUGGUAUAGUCUGAUACUUGAAAGAAAUUAGAUUUCCAGUUCUCACAGUUUCGUAGCUAGUCUUGACAAAUGACAAAUAUUCAUGCAUUCAUUUUCUACUUUCAUCUACAUUAUUAGACUCGAAGCAUUCAUCAGUCAAACUGGAUUCGUAUUAUACACUAUCCUAUACAUACAGUCAAACUUCGCUACUAUUUUGAGGGAAUGCGAAUACUACUAAAAUUUCAAUCAGUGUAAGAUAGGCGCUCUUGUUAAUUUUCUCUUUCAACAACGUAACUUACCAUUUUCUCACAAUGCAUAGAUCAACUUGAUAUGAAUGUAGACAUGUAGUAGCAAUGACAGUGCUGGACAUUAUCCCACAGCCGAAUGCAGGGUUUCAACCACAGUAUCCAUGCUUGGUCGCCUGCGCCUAUCUCCUUCCAGACACAACACUGCUAUCUUUAGCACUGUGGCUGCCUGUGAAUAGUUGAAUUCUCCAUUAAGCCUGCGGUCAAUGAAUUCCAGCAGCCAUGAUUGAUCUUCGCUAGCCAAUUUCUCGUUGAGAGUAUCAACAGUGCAUUUAACAGCCAGUUCUACCUCUUCCUUGCCAUCAAACACCCAUCGGGAAACCCGACUCCCCUUCACUAACUCAACAAGUAAUAUUCCAUAGCUGUAAACAUCAGCCUUGCCUGUGAUUGGAAGAUUUAGAGUCCAUUCUGGUGCAAUAUACCCUCUAGUUCCAUGCACUCUCGACAACAUUUGUGCUGUUCCUUGCUUAAGUAGUUUCACCAGUCCAAAAUCUGCAAUCUUUGGCUCAAAGUCUUUAUCUAGCAAUAUGUUUUCCGGUUUGAUAUCGCAGUGCACAAUCCAUUCAAGACACUCAUGGUGGAGAUAUGCCAGUCCUUUUGCCACUCCAAGUGCAAUAUUGUACCUUUGGCUCCAUUUUAGGAUAGGAAAUAAGUUGUGAUCGUCAAACAGAAGUCUGUCUAAAGAACCGUUCUCAAUGUACUCAGAAACCAAGAGCCUAUUUGUCUUCUCCACACAAAACCCCCAAAUUCUGACCAGAUUCAUAUGAUAUAUUCUUCCUAUGACGCUUAACUCAGACUUUAACUCCUGCUCUCCAUAGAUCACAUCAUUUAGCUUUUUCACUGCAACCUUCCUUUCAUCAUCGAGGACUCCCUUGUAGACCACACCUGAUCCACCACUUCCCAGCUCUUCCUUAAAACAAUUGGUUGCCUUGUGUAACUCCUUGUAGCUGAAUCGCCGGAAUUGACUCGAAAUGAUCAUGUAGCCCUCGUCAGUAAUCUCUGGGCUUUUCUCCCACUUUUGAACAACUGAAAACCCAACAAUGAUUAAAAUUACUUCAAUCAAAAGCAAUGUUAGAACAGAAGACAGGAAGUAACCAAACGCAAACUUGGAACUGACAUCCUCAGACAUUUGGGAUGAAGGGUAGGCCAAUUUUUCAGUAACUCCGCAGGAAUGGGUUAGUCUAUAAUCUGAUUCUUUGGUAAAUGACACUCCCUUAGGAACUUUCAGAUAGUUGUCAUUGUAAGGAUCUGGGAAGCUCUUGCCAUUGAAAAGUGAGUAUUUUGGAUAACAUUGGCCAGUUCCUUUCCGGUAACCAAAGCCUUGGCAAUUAUUGAUGGCCAGGCAUAUAUUUCUACAGUAAGAGUAUGGCACUGACUCUUUGUAGGCGAUGUCGUACCCCCAGAAGUCAGUUCCAGUGUUCUUUCUGAAUGAGAAGUCAUGGCUGAUAGUGUUGUUUGUAUUGUUUCUAUUCCCUUUAUCCCAGAUAGCAGUGAUGUUUUCCUUGCGCUUGCACCCUUUGCUCCAGUCACUCGGUUCAAUCACCUCGAAGCCUCGGAGGCAAGAACAAUGGAGUUUCGGGGUGUAAUUGCAGACACUGUUUAUGCCACACACUCCAUGCAUUUGACAUACUCUUGAGAAUGCCAUCCAAGAAAUUGACCAGCUGCCACUGGUUUCGUUUAGGCUGUAUAGCCUAAGAUUACCAUCAUAAUCCAGUGUCAACCUCCUCAUGACAUGAUCACCAAGAUCAGAGGCUUCAAAUUUAAGUUUGUCACUUGAUACAAAAUAGCCUCCCUGAUCUAGAACCCCAUAGCGUCUACUGUUAUAAGUUGACCUCCCACUCUUCCAUGGGUUAUCAAAGGAAGGAUUUGGCCAAUAUAUGCUUGCAGUGUCAGGGCCAUUGUAGACAAGAGUCAGCACAUUGUUACUGUCAUAGAGAAAGUUGUAGAAGCCUGAAUAUAGCAAACCCCUGGCAGAAGCAGAUACCAGUUUAACAUUCCUAGUUAUUGGCUGCAGAGGCAAAAGUGUAUCCGUUGGCGAGUCGAAGCUCCUCCAUAGAUUCUGCCCGUCUGGAUCCGUGACAACAAGG
rnacentral:lncRNA from 1 species